rnacentral:misc_RNA from 1 species
ACCCCAUUACCGAAUGUCUAGAAAGCUCGAAAUCUACAUGUGUACCCGCUGCUUGUGCACUUGGUUACCAGAGCGUUCACAACUAAUUUAUUCUACGUGCCCGUGCGGAGCUUUGGUUGGUAACGAAUCCGGAGCGAUCGGUGAAUAAGUAGAUAUCAUUGUGUAGAGUGCAGUUGGAUAACGCAAAAUGCCGAAAGUGAGUUUCUUUGCGACGGAACCCAUCGGCGACAAACUCGUGACGGAAAUUCCGGGCGUGGGUGAAGUCAUCGGCAAGCGGUUGACAGACGCUGGCUUUGACCGAGCCUCCACUCUCUUAGGUCAGUAUCUGAUUUUGAAGCGAAACCGAGACAAGUUCGACAAAUGGUUUAAAGAAGUCUGUGAUGCCAGCACUAGGGAGACUGACAGCUGCUUCGAUUCUCUAGAUCAAUGGUGUUUGCGUUUCCUAUAUUAGUUUCUUGCAAGGAGAGUAGUCUGAUAAUCUAAGAUGUCACAAUUUAUUUAUUAACACUAGUCAUCACGCCGAUCUAUAUUUUUAUUAAAAUUUAUGUACAGAUA